rnacentral:rRNA from 1 species
GUAGGUGAAACUGCGG